AAACUAGGCUAAGAUUGCAGCCUGCAGAGACUCCAAGCGGAGUCGGAGAAAUUUGGCCUCGUUUUAAUAGGGCUGAGGAAUGAACUCCGGAGGUCAAUAAAGCCCUCCAAAAAUGAUGAAUGAUUGAGCACCUGUGAUGAUGAUAGUGAUUACCAGAGCAAUUAAACAGUUUGAUUAAAUGAGCCAUCAUAACAAUGAUGUCUGCGGGAAAUCGGCCCUCACAUAUAAAGAAAGAUAGUGCGAAGGGGCUGGCAGAGGCGCGGAUAGCGCGACGCCAGGGAGAGGGGCUGCGGGCCGCGAGGUUUCUGCCCAAUGGCCCGAGCAGGGACGGCCAGACUCACGGAGCUUCAGGGAGGAGAGUGUAGCCCAGGUUUUCAGCCACUCUUUUUUGCCGGGCUUCAAGCCUGCUAGAGCCGACGGGUAGGAAAUCUGAAGGUUGGGGGGAGGGUACUUCCUCCACGUCCUCUUUUUUUUCCUAGAAGAACUCCAAGAUUAAAAGUAUCCUUAUUUGUUGCUGAGUUGCUCGUCGACAUUUAAGAGAAGGUGGGUUUGAUAGGAAAGAUACCCAAGUCUGAUAGGGAAGACAGGGCCACUUCUGGACUAGCUGUGAGGAUGUGUUUUCAUUUCCAUAACACUGAAGCACUUUCUGUAAACCUUUUGAUGUACUUAAAUAAGUCUAUUUGGACAUUUAAAGAAGCUACACAUACAAACAUAGCUUGGCUUUUUGCCGUCAAUCCCAGCAUUAAAAAAACAUUCAUAAUCUAACUGAGAAGCUCUUUCAUACCCAUCCUUCUUUCAAAUAAGUAAAUAAAUAAAGAAAUAGAAGUGCAAACCAAAGAAAGUUUCCAGCGUGCAUCUGUACGUCUUCGUGUGCGAGUUUAUAAACAACUUCCAGUCGGUACUUGGGUGUUACCUCCCUCCUGCCACACACCCCAAGGCAGAGGCAUCGAGGGAUCGCCCCCAGAGAGCUGUGUUUACUUAGCUUGUUUUAAAAAAAAUCUCGCCGCCAUGUAUGACAAGUGUUACUGCAAGAAAUUCAUCAGCCUUCUACAGAUACUUCCAGUUUUGCUGUAAUGAUCUGCAGAAGAGAACUGCCAUCACUUUCUCACAUCCCAAGGUGUUGCAGGAACUCAGAGAGAGGGGAGAGUGGCUGAAACGCUUAAUUACCGGAGGCGAAGGAGGGGCGCGCGGGGGACCGAAGGAGAGGGGAGUGAAGAAGGAAGGUCCUUUACCAGGCUUGUACCUGGAGAAAGCUUUGAAUCGCUUACUGUAGGAGGUUGGCUGAGGUAUAUGUGGAAACAGAAACAUUUAAAUAAAUUUUCCCUUGGUGACUAGAGUGUAUGAUAAGAAAAGUAGAAUAAACUUCAAAGGUGAUAUUAUACAGAGACUCA
rnacentral:lncRNA from 1 species